UGGGGAAUAUUGCACAAUGGGCGCAAGCCUGAUGCAGCCAUGCCGCGUGUGUGAAGAAGGCCUUCGGGUUGUAAAGCACUUUCAGCGAGGAGGAAGGUGGUGGACUUAAUACGUUCAUCAAUUGACGUUACUCGCAGAAGAAGCACCGGCUAACUCCGUGCCAGCAGCCGCGGUAAUACGGAGGGUGCAAGCGUUAAUCGGAAUUACUGGGCGUAAAGCGCACGCAGGCGGUUUGUUAAGUCAGAUGUGAAAUCCCCGGGCUCAACCUGGGAACUGCAUUUGAAACUGGCAAGCUAGAGCCUCGUAGAGGGGGGUAGAAUUCCAGGUGUAGCGGUGAAAUGCGUAGAGAUCUGGAGGAAUACCGGUGGCGAAGGCGGCCCCCUGGACGAAGACUGACGCCCAGGUGCGAAAGCGUGGGGAGCAAAACAGGAUUAGAUACCCUGGUAGUCCACGCUGUAAACGAUGUCGAUUUUGGAGGUUGUGCCCUUGAGGCGUGGCUUCCGGAGCUAACGCGUUAAAUCGACCGCCUGGGGAGUACGGCCGCAAGGUUAAAACUUAAAUGAAUUGACGGGGUC
rnacentral:rRNA from 1 species